rnacentral:rRNA from 1 species
GACGAACGCUGGCGGCGUGCCUAAUACAUGCAAGUAGAACGCUGAAGAGAGGAGCUUGCUCUUCUUGGAUGAGUUGCGAACGGGUGAGUAACGCGUAGGUAACCUGCCUUGUAGCGGGGGAUAACUAUUGGAAACGAUAGCUAAUACCGCAUAACACUGGAUGACACAUGUCAUUUAUUUGAAAGGGGCAAUUGCUCCACUACAAGAUGGACCUGCGUUGUAUUAGCUAGUAGGUGAGGUAACGGCUCACCUAGGCGACGAUACAUAGCCGACCUGAGAGGGUGAUCGGCCACACUGGGACUGAGACACGGCCCAGACUCCUACGGGAGGCAGCAGUAGGGAAUCUUCGGCAAUGGGGGCAACCCUGACCGAGCAACGCCGCGUGAGUGAAGAAGGUUUUCGGAUCGUAAAGCUCUGUUGUAAGUCAAGAACGAGUGUGAGAGUGGAAAGUUCACACUGUGACGGUAGCUUACCAGAAAGGGACGGCUAACUACGUGCCAGCAGCCGCGGUAAUACGUAGGUCCCGAGCGUUGUCCGGAUUUAUUGGGCGUAAAGCGAGCGCAGGCGGUUUGAUAAGUCUGAAGUUAAAGGCUGUGGCUCAACCAUAGUUCGCUUUGGAAACUGUCAAACUUGAGUGCAGAAGGGGAGAGUGGAAUUCCAUGUGUAGCGGUGAAAUGCGUAGAUAUAUGGAGGAACACCGGUGGCGAAAGCGGCUCUCUGGUCUGUAACUGACGCUGAGGCUCGAAAGCGUGGGGAGCGAACAGGAUUAGAUACCCUGGUAGUCCACGCCGUAAACGAUGAGUGCUAGGUGUUGGAUCCUUUCCGGGAUUCAGUGCCGCAGCUAACGCAUUAAGCACUCCGCCUGGGGAGUACGACCGCAAGGUUGAAACUCAAAGGAAUUGACGGGGGCCCGCACAAGCGGUGGAGCAUGUGGUUUAAUUCGAAGCAACGCGAAGAACCUUACCAGGUCUUGACAUCCCGAUGCUAUUUCUAGAGAUAGAAAGUUACUUCGGUACAUCGGUGACAGGUGGUGCAUGGUUGUCGUCAGCUCGUGUCGUGAGAUGUUGGGUUAAGUCCCGCAACGAGCGCAACCCCUAUUGUUAGUUGCCAUCAUUCAGUUGGGCACUCUAGCGAGACUGCCGGUAAUAAACCGGAGGAAGGUGGGGAUGACGUCAAAUCAUCAUGCCCCUUAUGACCUGGGCUACACACGUGCUACAAUGGUUGGUACAACGAGUUGCGAGUCGGUGACGGCAAGCUAAUCUCUUAAAGCCAAUCUCAGUUCGGAUUGUAGGCUGCAACUCGCCUACAUGAAGUCGGAAUCGCUAGUAAUCGCGGAUCAGCACGCCGCGGUGAAUACGUUCCCGGGCCU